rnacentral:rRNA from 1 species
AGUGAACGCUGGCGGUAGGCCUAACACAUGCAAGUCGAACGGCAGCACAGUAAGAGCUUGCUCUUACGGGUGGCGAGUGGCGGACGGGUGAGGAAUACAUCGGAAUCUACUUUUUCGUGGGGGAUAACGUAGGGAAACUUACGCUAAUACCGCAUACGACCUACGGGUGAAGGCAGGGGAUCUUCGGACCUUGCGCGAUUGAAUGAGCCGAUGUCGGAUUAGCUAGUUGGCGGGGUAAAGGCCCACCAAGGCGACGAUCCGUAGCUGGUCUGAGAGGAUGAUCGCCCACCUUGAACCGGGGACCGGGCCCAGAUCCCAAGGGAAGGAAGAAGUGGGAAUAUUGGACAAUGGGCGCAAGCCUGAUCCAGCCAUACCGCGUGGGUGAAGAAGGCCUUCGGGUUGUAAAGCCCUUUUGUUGGGAAAGAAAAGCAGCAGGUUAAUACCCCGCUGUUCUGACGGUACCCAAAGAAUGAGCACCGGCUAACUUCGUG